rnacentral:misc_RNA from 1 species
AAAGUCGUAACAAGGUUUCCGUAGGUGAACCUGCGGAAGGAUCAUUAAUAAACGGCGAUGCUUUACAGCUGAGCUUUAUAUACCAUCCUAUACACCUGUGAACUAUUUGCCCUCGGGCAUCAUAUACAAACAUAAUGUAAUGCAUGUAAUCUACUAUAAAGUUAAUACAACUUUCAACAACGGAUCUCUUGGCUCUC